rnacentral:rRNA from 1 species
GUGAGGAAUAUUGGUCAAUGGGCGAGAGCCUGAACCAGCCAAGUCGCGUGAAGGAUGAAGGUUUUAUGAAUUGUAAACUUCUUUUGCAGGGGAAUAAAGUACGGUACGUGUACCGUUUUGUAUGUACUCUGCGAAUAAGGAUCGGCUAACUCCGUGCCAGCAGCCGCGGUAAUACGGAGGAUCCGAGCGUUAUCCGGAUUUAUUGGGUUUAAAGGGUGCGUAGGUGGAUUGAUAAGUCAGCGGUGAAAGUUUGCAGCUUAACUGUAAAAUUGCCGUUGAAACUGUCGGUCUUGAGUGCAAAUGAGGUAGGCGGAAUGUGUUGUGUAGCGGUGAAAUGCUUAGAUAUAACACAGAACUCCGAUUGCGAAGGCAGCUUACUGGGAUGCAACUGACACUGAUGCACGAAAGCGUGGGUAUCAAACAGGAUUAGAUACCCCAGUAGUCC